rnacentral:rRNA from 1 species
ACGUACACUCCUACGGGAGGCAGCAGUGAGGAAUAUUGGACAAUGGGUGGAAGCCUGAUCCAGCCAUCCCGCGUGCAGGAAGACGGCCCUAUGGGUUGUAAACUGCUUUUAUCUGGGGAUAAACCUACUUACGUGUAAGUAGCUGAAGGUACCAGAAGAAUAAGCACCGGCUAACUCCGUGCCAGCAGCCGCGGUAAUACGGAGGGUGCAAGCGUUAUCCGGAUUUAUUGGGUUUAAAGGGUCCGUAGGCGGACUGAUAAGUCAGUGGUGAAAUCCGACAGCUUAACUGUCGAACUGCCAUUGAUACUGUUAGUCUUGAGUAAGGUUGAAGUGGCUGGAAUAAGUAGUGUAGCGGUGAAAUGCAUAGAUAUUACUUAGAACACCAAUUGCGAAGGCAGGUCACUAAGUCUUAACUGACGCUGAUGGACGAAAGCGUGGGGAGCGAACAGGAUUAGAAACCCUAGUAGUCCCAUG